rnacentral:rRNA from 1 species
ACAUAACUGAUGCCUCCGCGUAUUGACUUUGUGCGCAUUUUAGCUGUUAUGUGUUCUUUUAAUUAAAAUGAUUCUUUUUAAGAUUCAUCUAUUAAAAAUUUGCUUCGGCACAAUUUUUUUUGAUGAUCUUGUUACUUUGAGUAAAUUAGAGUGUUCAAAGCAAACAGAUAUAGCAUUUGUGCGUUUGAAUACUACAGCAUGGAAUAACAAAAUUGAACAAGUCAGAAUUUUUUUAUUCUUUUUUCUUAUUUUGGCUUAGUUACGAUUAAUAGGAGUAGCUUGGGGGCAUUUGUAUUCAGAUGUCAGAGGUGAAAUUCUUAGAUUUUCUGGAGACAAACAACUGCGAAAGCAUUUGCCUAAAAUACUUCCAUUAAUCAAGAACGAAAGUUAAGGGAGUGAAGACGAUCAGAUACCGUCGUAAUCUUAACCAUAAACUAUGCCGACUAGGCUUUGGAUGAAAGAUUUUAAAAUAAGAGUUUUUCUUUUCUCUCCGGAGAUUAGAACUCUUAGAUUGCUUCCCUCAGUGCCUUAUGAGAAAUCAAAGUCUUUGGGUUCUGGGGCGAGUAUUCGCGCAAGCGAGAAAGUUAAAAGAAUUGACGGAAGGGCACCACCAGGCGUGGAGCUUGCGGCUUAAUUUGACUCAACACGGGAAAACUCACUAGUUUAAGACAAGAGUAGGAUUGACAGAUUAAUAGCUCUUUCUUGAUUUCUUGGAUGGUGAUGCAUGGCCGUUUUUAGUUCGUGAAUAUGAUUUGUCUGGUUAAUUCCGAUGACGAACGAGAUCUUAACCUGCUAAUUAGCGGCAAAUACGAUAUAUUCUUAUGUAGAAUUGAAUAUAGUGGAUUUGUUGGAUUUUGAAGAAAAUAUUGGAAUUACGUUAAAUGUGAUUCCUUUCCCUUUUCUACUUAAUUUACACUUCCAUCUAUUUCUUUUUUGCGUAUGAAUGUAUUUGCUUGAUUGUAAAGCUUCUUAGAGGAACGAUGUGUG